AGCUUUUCGAAUCCGUGCUGAGAUUUCGUUCGAUACCAACCCAUUAGGGCUGAUCAGACUUCCANUGACUUCAAGCA
rnacentral:pre_miRNA from 1 species